UACAGAGGGGGCAAGCGUUGUUCGGAAUUACUGGGCGUAAAGGGCGCGUAGGCGGCCUUCUAAGUCGAACGUGAAAUCCCCGGGCUCAACCCGGGAACUGCGUCCGAUACUGGAAGGCUUGAAUCCGGGAGAGGGAUGUGGAAUUCCAGGUGUAGCGGUGAAAUGCGUAGAUAUCUGGAGGAACACCGGUGGCGAAGGCGGCAUCCUGGACCGAGAUUGACGCUGAUGCGCGAAAGCCAGGGGAGCAAACGGG
rnacentral:rRNA from 1 species